CAGAGGUCUCAAGCGUUAUUCGGAUUCAUUGGGCGUAAAGGGUGCGUAGGUGGCGAUGUAAGUCUGGUGUGAAAUCUCGGAGCUUAACUCCGAAACUGCAUUGGAUACUGCGUCGCUCGUGGAUUGUAGAGGAGAGUGGAAUUCACGGUGUAGCAGUGAAAUGCGUAGAUAUCGUGAGGAAGACCAGUUGCGAAGGCGACUCUCUGGGCAAUUCCUGACACUGAGGCACGAAGGCCAGGGGAGCAAACGGGAUUAGAUACCCCGGUAGUCCUGGCAGUAAACGGUGCACGUUUGGUGUGGGCAGGUCCAGACCCUGUCCGUGCCGGAGCUAACGCGUUAAACGUGCCGCCUGGGAAGUACGGUCGCAAGAUUA
rnacentral:rRNA from 1 species